rnacentral:lncRNA from 13 species
GACCUUGGUCUGGGCCUGUUAUUGAAGAUCUCUGAGGUUUAUUUGAGCCCAAACUACCUGAGUGCCAGACCUCAACAUCCAGCUACCUCAGAGAUUGCUCCAUUUGGGAGCGUCAUAGCACCGAAAUCUGCACAGGUCGAAGGAGUGUCUGCUCUUCUUUCUGCAUUUCCUGUCUCUGGUAACUGCCACCAAGAACAAAACAGGGACAUGGAUGAAGCUGGAAGACAUCAUUCUCAGCAAACUAACACAAGAACAGAAAACUGAACCCAGCAUGUUCUCACUCAUAAGUGGGAGUUGAACAAUGAGAACAC